rnacentral:rRNA from 1 species
UACAGAGGGUGCGAGCGUUGUCCGGAAUCACUGGGCGUAAAGGGCGCGUAGGUGGCGGCAUAAGGCCGUGGUGAAAGUCUGGGGCUCAACCCCAGAUCGGCCGCGGCGACUGUGUUGCUAGGGCACCGUAGAGGCAGAUGGAAUUCCGGGUGUAGCGGUGGAAUGCGUAGAGAUCCGGAAGAACACCAGUGGCGAAGGCGGCUCUCUGGGACGGUACUGACGCUGAGACGCGAAAGCGUGGGGAGCGAACAGG